GACGAACGCUGGCGGCGUGCUUAACACAUGCAAGUCGAACGGAAAGGCCCUGCUUUUGUUGGGUGCUCGAGUGGCGAACGGGUGUGUAACACGCGAGUAACCUGCCCUUGACUUUGUGAUAACUCCAGGAAACUGGGGCUAAUACCGGAUAGGAGCUCCUGCUGCACGGUGUUGGUUGGAAAGUUUCGGCGGUUGGGUAUGGACUCGCGGCUUAUCAGCUUGUUUGUGGGGUAGUGGCUUACCAAGGCUUUGACGGGUAGCCGGCCUGAGAGGGUGACCGGCCACAUUGGGACUGAGAUACGGCGCAGACUCCUACGGGAGGCAGCAGUGGGGAAUAUUGCACAAUGGGCGGAAGCCUGAUGCAGCAACGCCGCGUGCGGGAUGACGGCCUUCGGGUUGUAAACCGCUUUCGCCUGUGACGAAGCGUGAGUGACGGUAAUGGGUAAAGAAGCACCGGCUAACUACGUG
rnacentral:rRNA from 1 species